rnacentral:lncRNA from 1 species
AUGGUAGAAGCAUAAACCAAACUGAUUAGCACCCUUGAGUUCAGUGUUUCUUCACAUGUCAAUUACAAUGCAGACCAAAACACGUAGCAUAAUUUCAAAACUGAAUAUCAAAUGGUUUCAGACUUUUCUUACGUGUGUGUGUCGAGUUUUCAUGUGAUAUAAUAAAAGAUAUUUGACAAUAAUUUCUCCUACUAAUAUUUGAAAUACAUAUUAAGAAGCUAAUAAUUGAGAUGCUCAACGAAAAUACGUAUUAACAUUUCAUGACAUUCAACAACGGUAGAUACUUAACCUGGAAAAAAACAACAAUACGACGUCGUACCACUAGCACACCUGCAUGAGCGGCAACCCACAGAGACAAUCAUUAUUACUAAACGACGACGCUUCAAGAUGAUCAAACGGAAACCCUACCGGAAUCUUCCCACACAGGCGGUUAUUACUCAGAUCCAAAUGCCCAAUAUACUUCGCCGCCGAUAACGACUUCGGAAUCGCACCUUUCAGCCGAUUAUUACUCAAAUCAAGCACCGAAAAAUACGUCAUCGGAGUAAAAACAUCCGGUAAGUGACCUUCCAGAAGAUUCCGACUCAAAUUCAGUAAAUUUAAACCGGAAUUCCUCAACAAACUCGCCGGAAUCUCGCCGGAGAUCCGGUUACUGUCUAGAUUUAGCGUAGAUAACACCGGCAUCGAUCCGAUUUGUUCAGGAAUCGUUCCGGAAAUCAUGUUUGUUGACAGAUCUAGAUCCGCAAGCCGGUAGAUCUCGGAAAUCGACGCUGGAAUUGCUCCGGUGAGUUGAUUCCGGUUGAGUAACGCUCUGCUCAUCAUCGAUAGUUUUCCGAGAUCUGCCGGAAUCCCACCGGAGAUUUUAUUAUUGCUCAAAUCUAGAUGCAUUAAGCUUUUUAAAUUCACAAUCGAUGCCGGAAUCUCACCGGAGAGUUUGUUAUCCGCGACGUUUAACACUGUGAGUUUUUCUAACUUUCCGAUGUCGGAAGGUAGUUUUCCGGUGAGCUGGUUGCCGAUAAGGUCAAGAAUGCGGAGGUGAGGUAAGGCGGUGGUACACGCCGGAAUCCCGCCGGAGAUUCCUUUCCAGUCGGCGACGAUGAGUGACGUCAGCCGGUCUAGUUGACAUAACGAAGGGGAGAGUGAACCGGUCAUGUAACCGGACCGGCCGGUUUGGGUAAAUAUCUUAUCUUCAGACUCGCCACGUAGGAUAAUAUCGUUGACCCGGCUAUCAGUCGGGUCGCAGCUUACACCGUACCAGUUAGUGCAACAGUCGGAUCCGGUCCAUGUGUUAAAAAUGCCUAAAUAGGGCUCGGUCAGGGUGGACUUGAAGGAUAAUAAUGCUGCCCGGUCUGAUGGCGGGCAAGAGGUGACCACGGUGGAGGUUGCGGCGGCGAUGAGGACUGCCACCGCCACGUGUACGCCGGUAAAGAGAACAAACAGGCAGUGUCACACACAAGCCAAACAAAGACCCAGCAAUCAAAAUUCAAAGAUUCAGCAAUAAAAGUAAGUUAUCACUUCAUAUAAUCAUACAUUCAAAUAGACAAUAAAUCAGAAAUUCAGAUGUCAGAAUCAUACAAAAGUAACAUGUAACUUGCUCUUCGUUUAUUGCUGAGGUCGGACACUCGGACGUGAUUCUUGGCCUGCUCUUCGUUUAUUGCUAAAUCUUUGAAUUUUGUUUGGGGGUAACUUUGUAGAAUAGUAACCAAGUUUUUAAAGUGUUCCAAUUGGGUCACUCAAGUUUCAAAUGUGUUUCAAUCAGGUCACUCAACAUUCAUUUUUCAUUAAAAUUAAGGGUUUUCUCAUCCAUUUCAAAGGGAACUUAAUGAAAAAGAUCUCAAGUCUCGUUGUUAUAGUCUUCAAGAUGCAUUGAAGUAUAAAGACAAAUCCGAUGUUGAUGCUGAUGAACUUUAUAUGGAGUUGAAAUUGUUUGAGACAUUUU